rnacentral:lncRNA from 1 species
UCUUUGGGGAACGUGUUCUAGUCACCGUUAACAUAGGAGAACCUACUAAGCACAGGUAUUGUAUUAAUGUAUUGGUUCACUUAAUAUGAAGUGAUAUUAAUAUUAGAAGGUAAUUAGCCGGGCGCGGUGGUGGGUACCUGUAGUCCCAGCUACUCGGGAGGCUGAGGCAGGAGAAUGGCGUGAACCCAGGAGGUGGAGCUUGCAGUGAGCUGAUAUCGCGCCACUGCACUCCAGCCUGGGUGAAGAGCAAGAUUCCGUCUCAAAAAAAAAAAAAAAAGAAAAAAAAAUACAAUUCUCCUGAUUUCUUUGGGUCUUCAUUUCUUUCUUUUGUUUUGUUUUUUGUUUUUGUUUUUUUUUUUGAGACAGAGUCUCUUUCUGUUGCCCAGGCUGGAGUGCAGUGGCUCGGUUUCGGCUCACUGCAAGCUCCGCCUCCCAGGUUCACGCCAUUCUCCUGCCUCAGCCUCCUGAGUAGCUGGGACUACAGGGUCUUCAUUUCUGAAGGCUUUGUGUCACAUAAAACUUACAUAAAUUUGUACGUUUUUCUCUUGUCAAUCAGUCUUUUGCUAUAGAUGCCUCAGCUGUGAAUCUUGUGAUGGGUGAGGAAAGGUAUCUUUUUUCCCUCCUAUAACAGGUAUUC